rnacentral:rRNA from 1 species
GUGGGGGAUAUUGCACAAUGGGGGAAACCCUGAUGCAGCGACGCCGCGUGAAGGAAGACGUACUUCGGUAUGUAAACUUCUAUCAGCAGGGAAGAAGAUGACGGUACCUGACUAAGAAGCCCCGGCUAACUACGUGCCAGCAGCCGCGGUAAUACGUAGGGGGCAAGCGUUAUCUGGAUUUACUGGGUGUAAAGGGAGCGUAGACGGUGAAGCAAGUCUGAUGUGAAAACCCGGGGCUCAACUCCGGGAUUGCAUUGGAAACUGUUUUACUUGAGUGCUGGAGGGGCAAGCGGAAUUCCUGGUGUAGCGGUGAAAUGCGUAGAUAUCAGGAAGAACACCGGUGGCGAAGGCGGCUUGCUGGACAGUAACUGACGUUGAGGCUCGAAAGCGUGGGGAGCAAACAGGAUUAGAUACCCUGGUAGUCC